AGGAAUGAAAAUACAAGAGGGGAUGGAGAGUAUAAAAAAAUAAAGAAAAAUGAGUGGGGUGGCGAGCGCAAACCAGAGGGAGAGAAGCAACAAGAAGGAAGAAACAAAAAUGACAAAAAUCAGAUGAACGGAGGGAAGAAGAAAAAUAAUAUGCGAGAAAAAAAAAAGGUAGAUAUCUUGACUCUUCGUGUUUGUUAUUUCUUUACUGCUCCUCUCUUUGUUUUCUUCUUCUUUAUAUAUAUGUUUUUUUAAGGAGAAUUAGUGUCAUAUCUCCAUCUAAAAGUCAUCUAAAAGUCAUCUUUUUUAAGGAGAAUUUGUGCAUCCCCAUUAGUUUCCUUUUUCAUUUUCUUUAUUCAAAAUAUGAGUUCCUCUGCACUUCUGGUGCAUUUAUGUUUUUAGCUUAUUUAUUUUUAUUUGAAUGUGUUAAUUCUCUUUUUAUGUUUGAGAACAAAACAAGUUUUGGAUGAGCUAAGGCAUAUCUCCAUUUGUAUAAUGAUGGAAGAAAGUUGUCUUCUUGCUUUUGCUUCAAACUCAAAGUUUUGUCUCCUUCUCUUUGUAUCAUAAUAACAACUAGAGGACAAUGAAAAUUAUUAUUUUUUCUUUCAUUUUAUUAAUUAAUUCACCAUUUUAUAUUAUCUAUUUUAAUGUUGUUAUAAUUGUAAUUUCAAGAGAUGAGAUUAGUGUCCGUAUUUAUUAUUUUUUGUUAUAUCACUUUUAUUUUUAUUUUUAUUUUAUAUUUUUUAUUAAUAAUUAUGAACGCAAAAAUAUAUUUAUAUUUUUUUUGAAAAUUUUAAGAUUUCAUAAAAAGAAAUAAAAUAAUGUCAAACAUAAAAUUUGAUAUAUUAUGACUAUUAUAAUUUAAUUUGUUGGACAAAACUGGGUUGCACCUAUUUAAUUAUAUUUUACUAGAGAAUAUGGACAACAACCAACCAUGGUUUUUAAUUAUCGCUAUAGAAUAUAAGUAAAUAUAAGGACUUAAAUUUUGUUCAUAUAUAAAUUGCAAAAGUAGAUUAAUUUUUAAUGCAAGAACGUGUGUAAUAAAAAAGCAAAUAAAAAUGUGAAUGAUGGACAAGGAUGAAAAUUUAUCAUCUUUGAAUUGAUUACCGAUGUGUAUAUUGACAGGAAUGAAAAAAUAAUUAUUUUCGGAUUGGUUAUCGAUACGAAGAUUAACAAGAAUAAAAAAAAUAAUCGUCUUUAGAUUGGUUCUUGAUAUGUAGAUCGACAACAAUAAAAAAUGAUCAUCUUCAUAUGGUUACCGAUAUGAAGAUUGACAAGAAUAAAAAAAAUGAUGGUCUUCAGAUUGGUUAUCAAUGCGUAGAUCGGCAACAAUAACAAAUGAUCGUCUUCAGAUGGUUACUGAUUCGUCAAUGGACAGGAAUGGAAAAAAUGAUUGUCUCUUGAUUUAUUAAUGGUGCUUAGAUAAACAAGAAUGAGCAAUUGAUCAUCUCCAGAUUGGUUAAAGAUGCAUAAAUCAACAAGAAUAUAAUUGAUCGUUUUCAGAUUAAUUAUUGAUACAUAGAUCGACAAAGAUUAAGAUGCAGUAAGAUAAAGAUCUAGUUUAUAAUUUUAAUAAAGAGGAAAUAUAUGUAUAUCAUAAUUCUAAUGCAAACGUUAAAACAUAUAAUGAGCAAUGUACAACACAAGGUUGUUGAUUAUAAGUAAAGUAUGACUGUAAGACGCAUGAUUAUGAAUCUAAGAUGCCUGAUUCAUGUUGUUAUGCAUUAUAGAUAAGUUCUUAUUCAAUUAUUUAAUUAUUCGAUCCUCAUAGUCUUAUGCAAUCCCAAAAUUCAAUGGAUAAAUGAAAAUAAGAAUUAUUUUCCCAUAAUGACUCCUUG
rnacentral:lncRNA from 1 species